rnacentral:rRNA from 1 species
AGAAUCAACGCUGGCGGCGUGCCUAACACAUGCAAGUCGCACGAGAAAGUGGAGCAAUCCACGAGUAAAGUGGCGCACGGGUGAGUAACACGUGAAUAAUCUACCUCCGAGUGGGGAAUAACUGAGAGAAAUCUUAGCUAAUACCGCAUAAUACCCACGGGUCAAAGCAGCAAUGCGCUUGGAGAGGAGUUCGCGGCCGAUUAGCUAGUUGGCGGGGUAAUGGCCCUACCAAGGCGAUGAUCGGUAU